GUUCUGUUUUCUACUGAGUUUGCACAUUUAAGUCUCAGCAAAUAAUUUCUAAAUUUCAUUAGUCUGAUUCUAGAUAUUUUUUCUUUUAACGGACGCCAAACAACAGUUCCAAUAUAUCGCCAGUACUCACUGCUCUAUACAGCUUUUUGUUUUCAGCUGUGUUCGGAUAUUUUUCGAAACCGCUCUAGAGCCGCCACGAAACACGAGCGGAUGUCUCUCAGCCUCUCCAGGUCCGCCCUGCAGCACACGGUCGUCGGUGAUGCCGCAAUCUGCUGCCGCCAGUCAGCCUUGGUAACCCCGCUGCUUGUCAGACUCGCUUCAGAGGUUCAUUAGCAUUCAGUGAAGUUCAG